rnacentral:rRNA from 1 species
UACGAAGGGGGCUAGCGUUGUUCGGAAUUACUGUGCGUAAAGCGCGCGCAGGCGUUCUUCCAAGUCAGUGGUGAAAGCCCGGAGCUCAACUCCGGAACUGCCAUUGAAACUGUAAGACUUGAGGAUGAGAGAGGUGAGUGGAAUUCCCAGUGUAGAGGUGAAAUUCGUAGAUAUUGGGAAGAACACCGGUGGCGAAGGCGGCUCACUGGCUCAUAUCUGACGCUCAGGCGCGACAGCGUGGGGAUCAAACAGG